GAAUUCUGGACAAUGGGGGCAACCCUGAUCCAGCCAUCCCGCGUGUGCGAUGAAGGCCUUCGGGUUGUAAAGCACUUUUGGCAGGGAAGAAAAGGCUCUGGCUAAUACCUGGAGCUGCUGACGGUCCCUGCAGCAUAAGCCCCGGCCACCCACGUGCCAUCAGCCGCGGUAAUACGUAGGGUGCAAGCGUUAAUCGGAAUUACGGGGCGUAAAGCGUGCGCAGGCGGUUUGGCAAGAAGGAUGUGAAAUCCCAGGGCUUAACCUUGGAACUGCAUUCUUAACUGCCAGGCUAGAGUAUGUCAGAGGGGGGUAGAAUUCCGCGUGUAGCAGUGAAAUGCGUAGAGAUGCGGAGGAAUACCGAUGGCGAAGGCAGCCCCCUGGGAUAAUACUGACGCUCAUGCACGAAAGCGUGGGGAGCAAAC
rnacentral:rRNA from 1 species